rnacentral:misc_RNA from 1 species
AUCGACACUUUGAACGCAUAUUGCAGGUGUGUACUUGUUACAUACCUACCCUUGUGUCAGGGUCGGUUAUACAACAUCCAUGAGGUGAGUUUGCUCUCUCCUCUGUUAUCCGGUAAGCCUCGGUGCUUCUGGAUUAAGUCGCGGCUCGAAGGUGUUUGACUUGCUAACCGACUCUUGGGUUCCACGACCCGGGUUGGGCAGCGCACGGUCCCCUUGUGAGUCCGGGCGCGUGGCGAUCCCAUGCUAAGCCCGACCUUUUUAACAUUUCGACCUGACAUCAAGGGAGAC